GUACGCGUGGGAACGUACCAUUUGCUACGGAAUAACUCAGGGAAACCUGUGCUAAUACCGUAUGAGCCCGAAAGGGGAAAGAUUUAUCGGCAAAUGAUCGGCCCGCGUUGGAUUAGCUAGUUGGUGGGGUAAAGGCCUACCAAGGCGACGAUCCAUAGCUGGUCUGAGAGGAUGAUCAGCCACACUGGGACUGAGACACGGCCCAGACUCCUACGGGAGGCAGCAGUGGGGAAUAUUGGACAAUGGGCGCAAGCCUGAUCCAGCCAUGCCGCGUGAGUGAUGAAGGCCCUAGGGUUGUAAAGCUCUUUCACCGGUGAAGAUAAUGACGGUAACCGGAGAAGAAGCCCCGGCUAACUUCGUGCCAGCAGCCGCGGUAAUACGAAGGGGGCUAGCGUUGUUCGGAUUUACUGGGCGUAAAGCGCACGUAGGCGGGCUAAUAAGUCAGGGGUGAAAUCCCGGGGCUCAACCCCGGAACUGCCUUUGAUACUGUUAGUCUUGAGUAUGGUAGAGGUGAGUGGAAUUCCGAGUGUAGAGGUGAAAUUCGUAGAUAUUCGGAGGAACACCAGUGGCGAAGGCGGCUCACUGGACCAUUACUGACGCUGAGGUGCGAAAGCGUGNGGAGCAAACAGGAUUAGAUACCCUGGUAGUCCACGCCGUANACGAUGAAAUGUAGCCGUUGGGGAGUUUACUCUUCGGUGGCGC
rnacentral:rRNA from 2 species